rnacentral:tRNA from 1 species
CUGGGCGUCGUGCAGCGGUAGUACGCCGCGCCUUGCCGCGCGGGGCUGGUUCAAGCCCAGCCGCCCAGACCA